UCGUUCUUUUUCUUCUCCUGUUCUGCUUAUGCGAGUUUUGAGAGGGAUCAAAUGGAAGUUCUGAGAUCGAAAGAAGGUGGAGAAGAUCAUAUUUUAUUCGGUAGUGAUGGUGGUGGUGUCUAUUGUGAUUCAGAUUCGAAGGAGGAAUGAGAAAUCGAAGUUAGGGUUUCUGAUUUAGGACUGGGUGUGACUGAGGAUGAUGUUGAGUCGAUGAAGUUGAAAGAUUGAGAGGGUUGAUAAUCAAUUGAAGUUGUGGAGUUGUUUUGAGGGUUGAAUCAAAGAAUUAAGGUUAUUCUGUGAGUCAUUAAAGAUAUGAUUGGAGGUUAUUGAGAAGAAAUUAGAGGAAGGGUGUUGAAGAACGCGAUGUAAAGAAGAUUGUUGUGGGUUUAAUUUUGGGUUUCGGUUAAAGGGAAGAAGAUUGAUUAAGAAAUUUGCAGAAUUAGGUUUCAUGUUCUUACCCAAAUUAGAAUUAGGGUUUUCAGUAAAUCAAUGAUGGCGUUAAUGAUUUUUGAGUGUCAAUCGAACAAGAAUGAUGGGUUGUUAGUAUUUUGAGAUGAAUUGCUGAAACAAGUAAAAGCAAAGAAGAAUAUGAUUCAACUGUUGGAGUCCAUGGUUCAGGUAAAACUGAUUGACGUAAUUGUUAUUUUAAUGAAGAUCAGUUCGAGUUCAAUAUUGAAUUAUAAGUUCUCAAUGAACUAUAGUUGUGUUUUAAGUUUAUAAUUGAGGUACAGGAUUUGGGUAUGUGUUAAUGUGAAAUGGAGAGGAGUUUGUUGUUGACAGAGGUGGAGUUUUUAUAGAACUCGUGGUUGCAGGUGCAAGUGAAAUAAUAUGGACAUGUGAUGAAUAUGUGGUUAGGUUGAAUGGAAGAAUGUGUUGGUUAGAGAUGUAAUUGCAUAUAACUAUAGUGUCAUGUUUGAAUGAUAGAUGAUCUGAUCAGGUGCCAAUGAGAUGAAAUAGGAAUGAUGAGGGAGCUGAAGUUAAGUUUAGGCUAGAUAGACAUAAUAGUUGCAAUGAAACUGAAGUUGUAGUUGUAACUUAGUUAUAUCUAGAAUUGCAGAGAAGUGGUGUUUAGGGAAUCUGGUGGUGAUUCAGUUUAGUGGAAUGGUUACUAAAAGCUGCAAUUGCAGAUAAGAAGAGGAAUCUGAAUUAGUUUAUGUUGAAUUGAAUCUCCUCAGUGGAAGCUUGCAACUGCAUUUGCAGGUAAAGCUAAGUUUGUAGUUGAAGUUAAAUCAUGAAGUUUAAUUAAAAUGUAUAUGUUUCUUUGUUUUAA